rnacentral:rRNA from 1 species
UACGUAGGGAGCAAGCGUUGUCCGGAAUCAUUGGGCGUAAAGCGCGCGUAGGUGGCUUCGUAAGUCCGUUGUGAAAGUCAAAGGCUCAACCUUUGAAAGCCGGUGGAUACUGCGGAGCUAGAGUCCGGAAGAGGCGAGUGGAAUUCCUGGUGUAGCGGUGGAAUGCGCAGAUAUCAGGAGGAACACCAAUAGCGAAGGCAGCUCGCUGGGACGGUACUGACACUGAGGCGCGAAAGCGUGGGGAGCGAACAGG